rnacentral:rRNA from 1 species
CCUACGGGUGGCAGCAGUGAGGAAUAUUGGUCAAUGGACGAAAGCCUGAACCAGCCAUGCCGCGUGCAGGAUGACGGUUCUAUGAGUUGUAAACCGCUUUUGUACGAGGGUAAACCCCGGUACGUGUCUCGUGCUGAACGUAUCGUACGAAUAAGGAUGGGCUAACUCCGUGCCAGCAGCCGCGGUAAUACGGAGGAUCCGAGCGUUAUCCGGAUUUAUUGGGUUUAAAGGGUGCGUAGGCGGUUUGAUAAGUUAGAGGUGAAAUGUCGGGGCUCAACCCCGGAACUGCCUUUAAUACUGUUGGACUAGAGUAUGGUAGAGGUAGGUGGAAUGUAUGGUGUAGCGGUGAAAUGCUUAGAGAUCAUACAGAACACCGAUUGCGAAGGCAGCUUGCCAAACUAUAUCUGACGUUGAGGCACGAAAGCGUGGGUAGCAAACAGGAUUAGAUACCCUUGUAGUC